AUGUUUACAUCAAAAUUCUGUACAGGUCGAGAUGUCAGAAAUGACAGAUGCUUCUUAAAUCUCUAUAAAUUUCUAACCACUGUUCACUUACCGAAACUGGUGAUAACUAAUACUUGCUGCAAAUUAAUUUUUUGUUGUAGUAGAGACCAUGACCACAGCCAUGCUUCAAGUUUUCACAGGGCUGGAGUAAUCCCAAGAAAACAGAACAAAAAAGAUGCGCUGAAAACUCAGCUAUGCAUUUGCAGGUCUUAGCUGGAGUCUGCAGAGACAGACAAAAGUGCCAACAUACAAAACAACAACAACAAUAAUAAUAAUAAACAACUGUUAUUUCUGAACUGCCUGAAAUUU
rnacentral:lncRNA from 1 species